CUUAAGUGCAGUUGUGAGUUUUCGUGCUCAACGUUUCACCGUUCAUCUUGUUUGAAUUUUUUUUAUAAUUAAUAUUUUUAUUUUUAUUAGAGGAUAAAGCUUGAAUAUUACGUUGUUGUGACUUUUUUUAAUUUUUUUUUAAAAAAAUUCAAAUAAGACAGAUGGUCAAACGUUAAACACGGACACGCAUAACUGCAUGCACU
rfam:Oryza sativa Japonica Group DNA, chromosome 6, cultivar: Nipponbare, complete sequence.